AUGCACAUAUGUUUUAAAAAGUAGACGUUCUUUUCUUCUAUGUGAGCAGUGUUAUUUCUUAUGUGCUAUAUAAACAAUCGAAGGUUAAUUAGCAGGAUAUUGCACAUAGUAAUGCUACCUGUCCCCUUCACUCACAC
rnacentral:snoRNA from 1 species